rnacentral:rRNA from 1 species
UACGUAGGGUGCGAGCGUUGCCCGGAUUUAUUGGGCGUAAAGGGCGCGUAGGCGGUCACGCACGUCCGUUGUGAAAUCGCUCGGCUCAACUGGGCGGGGUCAGCGGAUACGGUGUGACUGGAGCAAGCUAGGGGGCAAUGGAAUUCCCGGUGUAGUGGUGGAAUGCGUAGAUAUCGGGAGGAACACCAGUGGCGAAGGCGGUUGCCUGGAGCUUUGCUGACGCUGAUGCGCGAAAGCGUGGGGAGCAAACAGG